UUCUUAUAGAAAUUUUUAUAAGUAAUACCUGCUCAAUGAAUAAUUUUUAAUAGCCGCGGAAAUUUAACUGUGCUAAGGUAGCAUAAUCAUUAGCCUCUUAAUUAGAGGCUUGUAUGAAUGGUAAAACAUUUCAAUUUCUUUAUUAAUUUUAAUUCUUUAAUUUAAAUUAAGAAUAAAAAUGUUUCUUAUAAAUAAAAAAGACGACAAGACCCUUUUGAACUUUACUUUAGUUUAGCUGGGGCAGCUAUUAAAUAAUUAUCUUUUUCUAAUUUAUUAAAUAAAUGACCUAAUAUAAUUAAUUAUUUGAACAAGUUACCAUAGGGAUAACAGCGUAAUAUUUUUCUAAAGUUCUUAUUUAAAAAAGUGAUUACGACCUCGAUGUUGAAUUAAUGUAACUAUAUAGAUGCAAUACUCUUAAAAGUAGGUCUGUUCGACCUUUAAAUCAUU
rnacentral:rRNA from 1 species